rnacentral:rRNA from 1 species
AACCGUGUGCUUACAAGUAGUCAGAGCCCGUUAAUGGGUGAUGGCGUGCCUUUUGUAGAAUGAACCGGCGAGUUACGAUUUGAUGCAAGGUUAAGCAGUAAAUGUGGAGCCGUAGCGAAAGCGAGUCUGAAUAGGGCGUUUAGUAUUUGGUCGUAGACCCGAAACCAGGUGAUCUACCCUUGGUCAGGUUGAAGUUCAGGUAACACUGAAUGGAGGACCGAACCGACUUACGUUGAAAAGUGAGCGGAUGAACUGAGGGUAGCGGAGAAAUUCCAAUCGAACCUGGAGAUAGCUGGUUCUCUCCGAAAU